UUCGCAAUGCCCGAAAGGGUGACAAUGCGACGCCGCGUGAGCGAUGAAGGCCUUCGGGUUGUAAAGCUCUGUCAGCUUGGAUGAAAUGCAGGCGGAAUAAUUCCGUCUCUGUCUGACGGUACAAGCAGAGGAAGUCACGGCUAACUCCGUGCCAGCAGCCGCGGUAAUUCGGAGGUGACAAGCGUUGUUCGGAACCACUGGGCGUAAAGCGCGCGCAGGCUGCGAUGUAAGUCGGUUGUGAAAGCCCCCGGCUCAACCGGGGAAUUGCUUCCGAUACUGCAUUGCUCGAGUGUGGGAGGGGAGAGUGGAACUCCUGGUGGAGCGGUGAAAUGCGUAGAUAUCAGGAGGAACGCCGGAGGCGAAAGCGACUCUCUGGCCCACAUCUGACGCUGAGUGCGCGAAAGCUAGGGUAGCGAAAGGGAUUAGAUACCCCUGUAGUCCUAGCCGUAAACGAUGGGCACUAAGUAGAGGGGUUUU
rnacentral:rRNA from 1 species